CGCAGCCGCGGUAAUUCCAGCUCCAAUAGCGUAUAUUAAAGUUGUUGCAGUUAAAAAGCUCGUAGUUGAAUUUCGGGGUUAGUAGGUUGGUCAUGCCUCUGGUAUGUACUGGUCUCACUGAUUCCUCCUUCCUGAUGAACCUUAAUGCCAUUUAUUUGGUGUUUUGGGGAAUUUGGACUGUUACUUUGAAAAAAUUAGAGUGUUUAAAGCAAGCUAACGCUUGAAUACAUUAGCAUGGAAUAAUGAAAUAGGACGUUCGAUCCUAUUUUGUUGGUUUCUAGGAUUGACGUAAUGAUUAAUAGGGAUAGUUGGGGGCAUUAGUAUUCAAUUGUCAGAGGUGAAAUUCUUGGAUUUAUUGAAGACUAACUACUGCGAAAGCAUUUGCCAAGGAUGUUUUCAUUAAUCAAGAACGAAAGUUAGGGGAUCGAAGACGAUCAGAUACCGUCGUAGUCUUAACCAUAAACUAUGCCGACUAGGGAUCGGAUGAUGUUAAUUUUUUAAUGACUCAUUCGGCGCCUUA
rnacentral:sRNA from 1 species